rnacentral:rRNA from 1 species
UAGCGGUGAAAUUCCAAUCGAGCCCGGAGAUAGCUGGUUCUCCCCGAAAUAGCUUUAGGGCUAGCCUCAAGGUGAGGGAUACGGAGGUAGAGCACUGAAUGUCCUAGGGGGUAUUGCACCUACCGAAGACUAUCAAACUCCGAAUGCCGUCAUCUUAUACUUGGGAGUCAGACUGUGGGUGAUAAGAUUCAUAGUCGAAAGGGC